AAAAAGUUCUCUUACAACAGAAGACUGUCUGCUUUUGAGGAAGAUUUCUUUGACUUCUCUGUUGCAGGAGAUCACAACUUGGGAUUUGCAGGCUCUUAAACAUCACAGGGUUUUAGACCUCGUCUACAAAAUGUUGAAACUCGAUUGCAGGUCACAUCAAAAAGUCCAGAGGUUUCAAACAUCAACCCUAGAUGACGGCUACACACUGGAAAAUGUUUUAAUUACAGUGUUUUCCAUGUUGAAAAUGAUAUCUGAUAUCUGAAUCUAUAUGAGCUAUCAACCAUGUAUUGCACAUAUAUAAUUUAUACAAUAAUAUACUAGUAAUUUGUUGUUAUAAUAUUAAUUGAACAUUUAUUUAU